GUAGUCAUAUGCUUGUCUCAAAGAUUAAGCCAUGCAUGUCUAAGUAUAAGCAAUUAUACCGUGAAACUGCGAAUGGCUCAUUAAAUCAGUUAUCGUUUAUUUGAUAAUACCUUACUACUUGGAUAACCGUGGUAAUUCUAGAGCUAAUACAUGCUGAAAAUCCCGACUUCGGAAGGGAUGUGUUUAUUAGAUAAAAAACCAAUGCCCUUCGGGGCUUUUUGGUGAUUCAUGAUAACUUUACGGAUCGCAUAGCCUUGCGCUGGCGACGGUUCAUUCAAAUUUCUGCCCUAUCAACUUUCGAUGGUAAGGUAUUGGCUUACCAUGGUUUCAACGGGUAACGGGGAAUUAGGGUUCGAUUCCGGAGAGGGAGCCUGAGUAACGGCUACCACAUCCAAGGAAGGCAGCAGGCGCGCAAAUUACCCAAUCCCGACACGGGGAGGUAGUGACAAUAAAUACUGAUACAGGGCUCUUUUGGGUCUUGUAAUUGGAAUGAGUACAAUUUAAACCUCUUAACG
rnacentral:rRNA from 1 species